rnacentral:snRNA from 1 species
AUCGUUUCUCGGCCUUUUGGCCAAGAUCAAAUGUAGUAUCUGUUCUUAUCAGUUUAAGGGAUCGCUAGUCAGGGAUUUUGUAGACUCUCCCUCAGUUGGGGUUUGGAGAAUAUCUCUCAGUUGAGAAUCUCAAAUGAUUUUCUUAUGAUUAGACUGAGGUUAUGGGUUUGGGGCAGAAAGGCCACAUAAGAGGCUAGUUGCCGUGCUCAUUACACCUCAUCAAGGGUAUGUAUUUAUUGCUGUUGAUGUUAACUCUU